GCUAGUAUAUAGUAUAAGUCAGUAACACUUACGAGAUUCUUGUGUUUGAGUCCCCUCUGGGUGGAGGGCAGCAGAAGUGAUGCCUCAGUGGAGAUGCACGUCUCAUGUCUUGGAGUAAAAUAAUGGCCGCAAAAGAACAGGAUGAAGGUCCUUAACACACAGUUUUAAAAAUAUCAACCAUAUUAAUUUGACUUCCUCCUCUUGACCCAGGAUCUUUCAUAAUUAACAUAAAGCUAUAACAAUUAUAUACUAAUAGCUAUUACCUUAUAACCUUAUUUUCACUGACCUGACCUGUACUCGGUGUGGACGGCCACACUGUGGUCAUCGUCAUGAUCCGCUCCUGUCCACUGCAGCAGUAGUAUACGUUAGGGCUGAAAUGCUUGACGUACAUUUACACUGACACUUUGCUUAACCUGUAUAAUUAUUGUUAUGUACACCUAUAGUAUACCCAUGCAUAGCUAGGCCUAUAUAUAAUAGUGUGAUUGUUGUCAUCUCAACUGAGCAAUAUCUUCUUGAUUUUUCAUAAUGGCGAUGAAUGGGAAUGGGAUCAAUUUUGCACAAAUGAGUAUAUAAAUUCAGCGAUGGGAUAAAUUGAAAAUUUCUUUCAAGAUAGUGACAACAGUUAUUCCGACGUUCUUCUUUUUACUUCCCACAAUAUUUUUUUGAGAUUUAUUCGGACAAUAAUUACUGUUGCAACACACAAUGACUUGCUAAUGACAAAACACACAAUGGACUACACACAAGGACUUCCCACACUUUUUUAUAUUUUAUGUCAAUAGUUUCUAAAACCUCCGUGCAUUUGGAGACUCUGCAACAUCUUGGUUUUAAAAUUUCCAUAGUUAGUGAAGCAGGUUGGUAGCACUAGUGACAAGGCACACAUAGAGAAGGUCGGGAACUGUGCACUGUCAUCAAAGGAAAGGCUCAGUUGUAUCCCAGAGGAGGGAUAGACGAUAUGCCCCGGUGAAAAAAGUCUAGACAUUACCCAGUGUUGUCACUCCAUUAUCACCUGCAAAGUGAUGUAGCUAUUCUGAAAUAAUAAACAACACGAAAAUUAGGCGAGAGAAUCGACACAUCAACUGCCCACGCAGCACCGCCUGCAGUUAUCUACAACGUGACGUGAAGCUACCAAUACACAAAUUCAUGUAUUUGCAUGCCAAAGAGAGUCGAUCAUGAUCGCUGUUUGAAGAAUGUCAAAAAUGUAACAUGCAUAGCUAUUACUAACAGUUCUGUGUGAGCCAGUACCUUAAUUGUUACUUUUAUAAACACUUAUAUACUAUUUUAUUUUUAGCGUAUUUGUAAAUUAAGACCGCGCUAAUUUUCCUUACAGUGUUAUUCUCAAUAUCUGCUUAGAGUGAACUAUGCCAUUGAAACUCUUGAUCAGCUAAAAAUUUUUUUUUUUACCAUGGAGUAUCUGUUAUCCUCCUUGAUCUCGUAGCAUGUGUAAUCUGAACGUGAUCCUGGUGUCACGGAUGCUGCCACUUUGGAACUUGGAGUGGUAGCCCUUUUUCAUCUAAUAUCUGACUCUGAACUUCUAUUCAACCUUGAAACUAUUUGCUACAAAUCUGCCACCUAAAACUGUGUUUACUGGUCCGUCGUAUGUCGGUACAACUAAGGUGGUUUGCUCUGUCGAGGUUGUCAGCUAGUUCCCUGUGUCCAAGCUCACGAAGGAACGUGGUGGACAACUAACUGUCUCAUAAUUUAUACACAACAGUGUUGGUCUCCGGUGGAUAAUUACACACUAUCUAUCUUACUACCAUUAUUAAAAAAAGUUCUAUCAGUUCCAUCUGUCAUAAUCGGAUUGCUAUUCGAAAGCUGGAAAAUACAUUAUCUUGUUUCCUACAUGCCCGGCAUUCCCCAUUAUUAUACAAACACAUGUUGUGUUGCUUGUAAUAAUAAUUAUUUGUGUAUUUUCAGAUGCUUAUUGUACGCAAUUUGUCAUAAAACUGGCCAUUUUCAAUGCAAUAAUAAUCUUGUGUGUGUGUAGGAUCAUCACAAGAGGAGCCUACUAGCAGAAACCAAACAGUAGAAAUUGCACAACAACAGUCGUCCAUUGUUCUGACUGGAGAUGAUAUUCUAACAAUUUGUGAGAAGCUGAGAAGUGCAAACAAAGAUUGGUUCAACUUGGGACUGGCCCUCGGAAGACAUUGAAGAUGCAUACCGCCAUAACAAACGCCGCCUAAUGAAGAUGGUAACCAAGCGUCUUGAAAUUACUGAUCCAAAGCACCCGAUGACAUGGCCUUACAUAUGUGAAUGUCUAAGGAGUCCUACUGUUGAGCGUAACGAUGUAGCCGAGGAAAUUGAAGACAAGUAUGUGAGGACAGCAACUGCAGUUGCUCAUAGUGCCACCAAUUGAUCAUGAUAACCUGACAAGCUUGAAGGGGACGAAUAAAGUAAAGAAGCAUAAAGAAGCAUACAUGCAAGAAUUAAGUAAAGAACUGACUGACUCUAUUAUAGAUCUGUGCUAACAAUGUCGUCUAUAUAGCUAUUAUUAUAAAGUAUGAGUACUGUGACAUGUUCAAGCAUUGUUCAUUUGUUCCUUGUAAGGGAUCAGCAUCUUAUUCUUAUAGAAUAAUUAUUUAUAAUUGAGGUGUUUGUUUGAUGAUCCUUACCCACUGGCCAUGUGGUACAAUGAGGCCAAGGGUCAACAAAGUACUUGCACUAGCGCUACUCGCUGCUAUUACUAACUGUCUGCCUCAACAACACAAGUCUCUCCUGUCAUAAAGAGCUACCACGAGUACAGCAUCCUGUACAGAAAGUUUCAACACACACGUGUAGAGGAGCUCUGUCAGAAUAAUGUCUUCAUAAGGGAACACAAGUUUCCCACGGAUGAGGACCGCCUCACUGACUUCCAUUCUCAUCUCUUGUUUGAUGACGAGAGAAUAAUCAUCUUCUGUUGUGUGCCUAAAGUAGCGUGGUGAUGGAGUUGCUGACUCAACGAUCACUCGACUGAGACAACACUAUCUGAUAUUGCUAAGGCCGUUGCUAGGCUACACCAUCGGACAAAACCCACCAUACAUCGUGACCUCAAGUGAAUGUGGUCUGUCUAGUCAUCAAGACUGUGGAAUGUGGGGGAUGAGCGGUGGUAAUGGGCUUAAACCAAUUUCCUUGAAUCACGUUUACUGAACCAUGUUAAGUAUAAACACGUUUACUAUUAGUGAUACUCAUUUGAAAGCUCUCAAUGAGACGAAUCUAAUGGUACCCAUAUCA